UGAUCCAUGACUGGGGUGAAGUCGUAACAAGGUAACCGUAGGGGAACCUGCGGUUGGAUCACCUCCUUA
rnacentral:rRNA from 1 species